CGGGCGGUGACGCGCGGGGAGAGGGUAGCAACAGUUGCCUCGAGACCCGGCGCGAGGCGCCAUAGUGACCGUAGCCCUGGAGACUGUUCCUUGCCAACGGGAGCGGCGCGCAGCCCCGGCGGCCGGAGCGCAGCGCGGCCCGCGGAGCCCAGCGGGGAGGGCAGGCAACAUCCCUGCACCUUCUUGAUUGCUCCAGGCACAAAGCAGCUGCUACUGCUUUAUCCAGCUCUGAUAUAGAAGUCCGUUGUGGUGUCUAUGAGGGAGGUUGGCCUUGCUUGGAACAAUAAUAAGUUUUGUUGAUCCUUGAACUGUUAACUGGGUUCUGAGUGACUUAGCAAACAUCUGGCCAGCCCAGGCAGCUCCACAUUCCUUCAGGACCGGCAGAAGAGCCCCAGUUCCUCUCCCCGUGGCAAUCGCAUUUGGUUUGAAGAACUGAAAUCUGUGUAGCUUGCUGACAGGGGACGGAGAGUGUGCAGGCAAGGGCUCAGGUGGGCAUGGGCAAGGGCUGCGUGCUGGCUGCUGCCUGGGUUUGGUGACAGUGGCAUAGCACAGACCCUCAGACCCAGCUGAGCAUCUCUCCCUGUGGAACAGAGCCUCAGCAAGAUGUUGCCAUUUGAAACAUGGACGAGAAUAAGAAGGUGUCCCAACUGCGGUGCUUAUGGUCAGUAACUUUGGUUUGUCAGCUCAAUCCACCACCACCUGCAAUCUCCCAGGAGAAGGCGGUGAUGUUUGGGGUAUUGCUUUUCACUCUGCCUCUCGUGCUCCUUCGUCAAAUGCUGCACUGUGUACAGUAUGCUCCUCUGUAAGAUGCUGUUGGCGUUUUUAACUGAGGAAGUAUUCCUAGAAAACAUUUUUCUUUGCUAAUGUCACUGCACCUUUUUUGCUGAUGUUUGCUGUGCUGAUUAUUUGGCCCUAGGAGGGUUGUUACUCUGUUCCUGGCAGCUGACAGCUUUCCUUUUCAGAGCAGAUGGAUAUGUUUCUUCACCUCUAUGUAAUUUAGAUACUAUUGACAGCUUAAGGAAUAUUAUUUUGCAGAGUAACUGUCCUUGCAUUAGACUGCAAAUGGAUAAACUCUUCCACAUUUCCAUCUGCAAAUCACAAAGCUGUUGCAUGAAGUUUACUAUUACAAAGCUGUAGGAACCGCAGUUUAGUUUUCAUUUAACCAGUUCAUUUAGUGGAGGAAAAUUUGUAUCAAAUCUGACAGUCUUUUCAGUAGGUAUGUUUCAGAAAUGAAAGGGUGGCUGAUUCUGGUUCCAAA
rnacentral:lncRNA from 1 species